GGGGCUGUGGUCUAGUCUGGUAUGAUUGCAGGUUUGGGACUUGCCGACCCCGGUUCAAAUCCGGGCAGCCCCA
rnacentral:tRNA from 1 species